AAAUCACCCGAGCCUGCGGGAAGCCUGCGUUUCGACAGCGUGUACAUGCCACAGAGCCAUCAGACAAAAGGGCAAGAGUGGAAGCUAAAAAUCCAUUUCAAAAAGCAGAGAAAAGAAAUGAACAGCAACAACAACAAUGACAAAAAAAGCCAAAAGGUUAUUCCUUAUCAAUGUGAGAUGCCGUUUGUACUCCACACCAACACCACUGACUCCUUACACCGAGGAAAAUGAGGGAAAACCCUACAGCACUCUUCAUCAGCCAAACUGCUUGUUGUCUUUGAAACUAUAGAAGAAACAGCCACACAACGCUAUUUAGGGAAGAGCUGAGAAGACCUGUUUUUUGAUCUCCUUGUUCACUUACUUAUAAAGAAACAAGAUUUUAAUAUGUUAUUUUUUCUUCCAUAUUUUUAAAUAAUGUUGUUCUCAUAUUUUGUCCUGAAUAUGCAUUUCAUGAUUUAUUUUUUUUCUUCAUGCUAAUUCUGUAAAUUAUUAUUUAAUAUACAAGGUAAUGAAACAUUAGGCCUAAAGCACAGUUAGAGUUCAUCUGUCUUCUUGUGCAUUUUCCUACUGUCAUUCAUUCAAUCCAUUAGUAUGCCAGCUUUGUAUAUUUUGUCCUAACAAUCACUCUAGAAUGUUUUCAGAAUGCUAGAAUGGAUAUUGUGAAGCUAAUGACUCUAAAUAUCAAAUUAAUUUUCCUAUUGGCUAGAUAUUCUUGGUUUAGUAAUAUGUUAGUUUGAAAUAACCAAUAUUUCAAACACAGUUUCUUAUGUAUUUACUUUUUAUUUCAUUGAGCCAAACAAGAAUAAUGUGAAGCAACAAUACAAAUUAAUGUUAAAAGGAUUCAUAAUUUACUUUUUCUUAGUGAUGCUGAUAGCUGAAAGAGCAAUGGCAAAUAUAAUUAAGGUUGCAUAACUCUUCCAUUCUACCCUCUUUUUAAUUUUCUCAUAGCUUUCUUAAUUGAUCACUAUCCAUUCCCAAAGUUUAUAUUCACAGUUCCCAUCUGAAAGUGAUUGUUUGGUGGAAAUCUAUGUUUAAAAUGUUCCAACAGUUCUUGAGAAAGAAAAAAAAACUACAAAAAACAAACAAACAACAAAAAAACACAAAACCAAAACAAAAAUCAAAACAAUCCUACAAAACCAUUAUUUUUCCCAUAAAAAAUAACUGAAAGAGUCUGCCUUUUAUGCAUAGCUUCCAUUAAAAUAGCUUCAGGAGGAGGAUGAGGAGCCAAACA
rnacentral:lncRNA from 1 species